rnacentral:ribozyme from 1 species
UGUUCGAGCGAACAUUGACGCUAGAGUUAUAUGAGGGAAAGAACCAAACAAAAAAAAACUAGCAAAAACAAAAAAACAAAACAAAAAAGCGAAAAACGGGCGGGGGGUU